GUAUACCUGAGCUAUAACCACCUGUGGGGGUACCACAGGCAUGUCCUCUUGGCACCGAGGCAUGACACCUUCCGUGGCGGUGUGAUCAGUCCACGGCGUCUCCGUUUUGUGCUCCGGUGGGAGUUGGCCAUUUUGUGUUUUGUUGUGGGAGGCGUAUGGGUCGACCCUAGUUUUCUGUUCUGUUCUGUUCUACGGAUUGGUGAUGUUUGUGCCAAACACACCUUCCGAUUUUACAUGCAUUGGAUUCGUGGUCCAUUGUGUGUGACUUGCUUGUG
rnacentral:lncRNA from 1 species